rnacentral:rRNA from 1 species
UACGUAGGGGGCAAGCGUUGUCCGGAUUUAUUGGGCGUAAAGAGCGUGUAGGCGGCCAGGUAGGUCUGCUGUGAAAACUCGAGGCUCAACCUCGAGCUGUCGGUGGAAACCAUCUGGCUAGAGUCCGGAAGAGGAGAGUGGAAUUCCUGGUGUAGCGGUGAAAUGCGCAGAUAUCAGGAAGAACACCAAUGGCGAAAGCAGCUCUCUGGGACGGUACUGACGCUGAGACGCGAAAGCGUGGGGAGCGAACAGG